AAAAAGACAAACUCUGGUUUCCGUGUCCAACGUUUGACCGUCCGUCUUAUUUGAAAAAAAUUAAAAAGAUAAGUCACGCAUAAAGUAUUAAUCUUGUUUUAUCAUCUAACAACAAUGAAAAUACUAAUUACAAAAAAAUUUCAUAUAAGAUGGACAGUCAAAUAUUGGCACGGAAACCCAGGGUUUGCCUUUUU
rnacentral:pre_miRNA from 1 species